AGAACGAACGCUGGCGGCAGGCUUAACACAUGCAAGUCGAACGCUCCGCAAGGAGAGUGGCAGACGGGUGAGUAACGCGUGGGAAUCUACCUAGUUUUACGGAACAACAGAGGGAAACUUCUGCUAAUACCGUAUACGCCCUAAGGGGGAAAGAUUUAUCGGAAUUAGAUGAGCCCGCGUAAGAUUAGCUAGUUGGUGGGGUAAUGGCCUACCAAGGCGACGAUCUUUAGCUGGUCUGAGAGGAUGAUCAGCCACACUGGGACUGAGACACGGCCCAGACUCCUACGGGAGGCAGCAGUGGGGAAUAUUGGACAAUGGGCGAAAGCCUGAUCCAGCCAAUGCCGCGUGAGUGAUGAAGGCCUUAGGGUUGUAAAGCUCUUUCAGUGGGGAAGAUAAAUGACGGUACCCAACAGAAGAAGACCCCGGCUAACUUCGUGUCAGCAGCCGC
rnacentral:rRNA from 1 species